CAGUCGCCACGGUAAUACGUAGGGUGCAAGCGUUAAUCGAAAUUACUGGGCGUAAAGCGUGCGCAGGCGGUUAUAUAAGACAGAUGUGAAAUCCCCGGGCUCAACCUGGGAACUGCAUUUGUGACUGUAUAGCUAGAGAACGGCAGAGGGGGAUGGAAUUCCGCGUGUAGCAGUGAAAUGCGUAGAUAUGCGGAGGAACACCGAUGGCGAAGGCAAUCCCUUGGGCCUGUACUGACGCUCAUGCACGAAAGCGUGGGGAGCAAACAGGAUUAGAUACCCCGGUAGUCCCUGUCUCUUAUAC
rnacentral:rRNA from 1 species